GGACAGAUGGCCGAGCUGGUUAUGGCGCCAGGUUAAGGUUACCUUAACAGUAUAUUUCCUGGUCACGAAAGUGGCGUGGGUUCGAGUCCCACUCUGUUCA
rnacentral:tRNA from 1 species